CCUACGGGUCUCAGCCGUUUUUACUUUUGUCCCCUGGGCGCCCGCCUGAUCCAGCUAUUCCGCGUGUGGGAAGACGGCCUUCGGGUUGUAAACCACUUUUGUAGAGAACGAAAAGUCUAUUGAUAAUACCGAUAGACGAUGACGGUACUCUAAGAAUAAGCACCGGCUAACUACGUGCCAGCAGCCGCGGUAAUACGUAGGGUGCGAGCGUUAAUCGGAAUUACUGGGCGUAAAGGGUGUGCAGGUGGUUUUGCAAGAUGGAUGUGAAAGCCCCGGGCUUAACCUGGGAAAGCCAUACAUGACUGCAAGACUAGAGUGCGUCAGAGGGGGGUGGAAUUCCAAGUGUAGCAGUGAAAUGCGUAGAUAUUUGGAAGAACACCGAUGGCGAAGGCAGCCCCCUGGGACGCAACUGACGCUCAUACACGAAAGCGUGGGGAGCAAACAGGAUUAGAUACCCGGGUAGUC
rnacentral:rRNA from 1 species